AUCUAAAUAGUUCCUCUAGCCACGCACGUGCCUGGCCUCCACAGGUAUCCAUAUGAGAACUUAUUCUAAUUAGAGGUGAGAUGAUCUCUCUGGGAUGCUAGCUUCCUUACAAAGAUCUCCUCUUUGAUGAUUGAUCUGGUUUUCUCUCAAAUCUCACAGACUCUCUUGAGAACUAAGAAGAACAGGAGGAAGAGGAGGAAGG
rnacentral:lncRNA from 1 species